AAUCGAAACUCAGCUGCAA
rnacentral:snRNA from 1 species